GAUGAACGCUGUCGGCGUGCCUAAUACAUGCAAGUCGAGCGAACGGACGAGAAGCUUGCUUCUCUGAUGUUAGCGGCGGGCGGGUGAGUAACACGUGGAUAACCUACCUAUAAGACUGGGAUAACUUCGGGAAACCGGAGCUAAUACCGGAUGAUAUUUUGAACCGCAUGGUUCAAAAGUGAAAGACGGUCUUGCUGUCACUUAUAGAUGGAUCCGCGCUGCAUUAGCUAGUUGGUAAGGUAACGGCUUACCAAGGCAACGAUGCAUAGCCGACCUGAGAGGGUGAUCGGCCACACUGGAACUGAGACACGGUCCAGACUCCUACGGGAGGCAGCAGUAGGGAAUCUUCCGCAAUGGGCGAAAGCCUGACGGAGCAACGCCGCGUGAGUGAUGAAGGUCUUCGGAUCGUAAAACUCUGUUAUUAGGGAAGAACAUAUGUGUAAGUAACUGUGCACAUCUUGACGGUACCUAAUCAGAAAGCCACGGCUAACUACGUG
rnacentral:rRNA from 1 species